rnacentral:rRNA from 1 species
UGGGGAAUAUUGCACAAUGGGCGCAAGCCUGAUGCAGCAACGCCGCGUGAGUGAUGAAGGCCUUCGGGUCGUAAAACUCUGUCCUAUGGGAAGAAUAAAAUGACGGUACCAUAGGAGGAAGCCCCGGCUAACUACGUGCCAGCAGCCGCGGUAAUACGUAGGGGGCAAGCGUUAUCCGGAAUCACUGGGCGUAAAGGGUGCGUAGGUGGCUGAUCAAGCCAGAGGUGAAAGGCAUUGGCUCAACCAAUGU